rnacentral:rRNA from 1 species
GAUGAACGCUAGCGGCGGGCUUAAUACAUGCAAGUCAAGGGGUAGCAAUACACCGGCGUACGGGUGCGUAACGCGUAUGGAACCUGCCCUUAUCUGGGGGAUAACUCGGGGAAACUCGAGCUAAUACCGCAUAAGAUAGUAGAGAGGCAUCUCUUAGCUAUUAAAGAUUUAUCGGAUAAGGAUGGCCAUGCGUAAGAUUAGAUAGUUGGCGAGGUAACGGCUCACCAAGUCUACGAUCUUUAGGGGCUCUGAGAGGAGAAUCCCCCACACUGGCACUGAGAUACGGGCCAGACUCCUACGGGAGGCAGCAGUAGGGAAUAUUGGGCAAUGGGCGGAAGCCUGACCCAGCCACGCCGCGUGCAGGAAGACGGCCCUCUGGGUUGUAAACUGCUUUUGAUUGGGAAGAAAGCAACUCAUGCGUGAGAAUUUGACGGUACCAAUCGAAUAAGCCACGGCUAACUACGUGCCAGCAGCCGCCGUAAUAC